UACAAGGCACUGCAGCAUAUUUAUACUUCCCUUCUUGCUGACACUCCUGUCCCUCCCUCCCACCUGACACAUGGAACACGUGGGAAAGGCAGCGCCAAGGAACCAUCUGACAAACGGAUUUCACCCAAACCAAAGUGACCCUCACAGAUGUGAGGCUGCAUCCCAGGCUAGUCAGCAUGGCCUGGUAACUGAGAUCGGGAAGAGAAUUCUCCACAUUCUGUUCGUACAACGACCUUGGAUAACUUGGCUCUGUUCUUGUGGGAUUUGGAGCUCUGCUCCCGGAUGGAUGUGAGAUGAGACAGCAAUACAGAAACCCACCAGCCCGAAGGAGAAGGCUGGACAGUGCAGACCGAGGUUUAAACCAAGCCCCAAGUCUUCAGUUCACCUCUGGCAUACUGGGACACUCAAGUCAUUAACAGAAUUCAUCUGGUAGGAGAAAUUGGGAAGGACCAGAAGUAUUUCAGUCCUGCAGCAAAUGGUUUACAAACAGAUGCCUUUAAAGAAAGUCAGGAUACCCAGAGAGACAAGCACAUAUUUCAGAAUCGUGUCUCAGCGCUGCCCUGAUCUGUCACCCACCAGACAUCACCCUGUAAAUCUCCCCAAGCAAUCUUGUUACAG